rnacentral:rRNA from 1 species
AGAGUUUGAUCCUGGCUCAGAAUCAACGCUGGCGGCGUGCCUCAGACAUGCAAGUCGAACGCGAAAGUCCCCUUCGGGGGAUAAGUAGAGUGGCGCACGGGUGAGUAACACGUAGGUAAUCUACCUUCGGGUGGGGAAUAACAACCGGAAACGGUUGCUAAUACCGCAUAAUGCAGCGGCACCUAAUGGUGACAGUUGUUAAAGCGGGGGAUCGCAAGAUCUCGCGCCUGAAGAGGAGCCUGCGGCGGAUUAGCUAGUUGGUAGGGUAAUGGCCUACCAAGGCGACGAUCCGUAGCCGGCCUGAGAGGGCGGUCGGCCACACUGACACUGACAUACGGGUCAGACUCCUACGGGAGGCAGCAGUCGGGAAUUUUGGGCAAUGGGCGAAAGCCUGACCCAGCAACGCCGCGUGAAGGAUGAAAUCCCUCGGGAUGUAAACUUCGCAAGAACGGGAAGAAUAAGUUUGUGCUAAUACCACAAGCGAUGACGGUACUGUUUGUAAGCUCCGGCUAACUCCGUGCCAGCCGCCGCGGUAAUAC